GUAACAACAAGGGCAGGGUAGAGUGACACACACACACACAUAUAUGUAAGCAAGCGCACGCACGCACACACGCACGCACGCACGCACGCACACACACACACACACACACACACACACACACACACACACACACACACAGAAAGCGUUAGCAGGGUUUGAGUGGCAGCUGAAGUUAGGGUUGAAUAAACAGUAGUCCUGAUAACCCCAGGAUUGACAAGGCCACCCCGAUUGUCUUAUCUCGUAACCAUAGACCGGGACUCUGGCCAAGGGCCAAUAGAAACAGGGAAGACAAGCUUGUGGCCCAAUCAGUGAAGAGAAAACAUCCUGUGAACGAUACAGAAAAAGAAGGGGAACCUAUCGGGGGCAGGGGUAGGAGGCAUAUGAGGUAAGGGAGGGUGCUGGAGGUACUGUCUGUCUGUCACAGUCUGCGUGUGCGCGUCUGUGCUUGCGUGAAUGUGUUAUUCAGAUGCGAUAUGUUGUGUAUAUAUGAUAGAGGGAACGUGUUCACUCUCAGACACCUCUGACACCGCUUGUUAUUGAGGUCGUGGAUGGCCGGGAGCUCGGCCCCAUGAUGUACUGGGCUGUCCGCACCACCCUUUGUAGAGAUUUGCGGUCAAGGGAGGUGCAUUUGCCAUACCAAGCGAUGAUGCAGAAAGUCAAGAUGCUCUCGGUGGUGCAGCUGUAGAACUUAUUGAGGAUCCGAUGGCCCAUGCCAAAUCUUUUCAGCCUCCUGAGAGGGAAAAGGUGCUGCUGUGCCCUCUGCAUGACUGUAUGGGUGCGUGUGGACCAUGUUGAGUCCUUAGUGAUGUGGAAGCCAAAGAACUGCUCUCCCAUCUUUUUUCUAUAGUCCACGAUCACCUCCUUGGUCUUACUGGCAUUAAGGGAGAGGUUGUUGUCCUGGCACCACACUGCUAAGUCUCUGACCUGCUCCCUGUAGGCUGACUCAUUGCCGUCGGUGAUCAGGCCUACCACUGUCGUGUCUUCAGCAAACUUGAUGAUGGUGUUGGUGCAGUGGAGUGGUUCUAGAGUGUCUGGGAUAAUGGUGUUGAUGUGUGUCAUGACAAGCCUUACAAAGCACUUCAUAAUUACAGAUGUGAGUGCUACAGGGCGAUAGUCAUUAUUAAGGCAGGUUACCUUGGAGCUCUUGGGAACAGGGACAAUGGUGGUCAGCUUGAAACAUGUUGGGAUUACUGACUGGGACAAGAAGAGAUUGAAAAUGUCUGUGAAGACACUUGUCAGCAGGUCUGCGCAAGAUUUGAGAAUGAGGGAGGGCUUUGUAUGCAUUUCUGUGUGUAGAAUAAUAGAUUUGACAAUGAGGGAGGGCUUUGUAUGUGUUUCUGUGUGUAGAAUAAUAGUGGUCUAGAGUUUUAGGGCCCUAGUGGGGCAGGAGACGUGUUGGUAGAAGUGAGGUAGGAUGGUUUUAAGUCUCCCAGCAUUAGAAAGUCUCCACCAACUCUCUUGGUAGAUAAAAGGGUCUGCAGCUUACCAUGAGGUAUUCUAUAUCAGGACUCCACCUCGUCUCACACGUCUACGCCUGCGGCGUUUUGGUAUCCCAUGGAACAAAGGAAUAGGGCCCAUAUGAACAGUGGAACAGCUGAGUUGGAGUUGAAGUCGUAUUUGAUGUUGAAAUCGAGGACCUGAGCCCUAGGACCAUGCCUCAGCACUAGCUGGCUUGAUGACUUCUUGCUGUCCCCAGUUCACCUGGCCGUGCUGCUGCUCCAGUUCCAACUGUUCUGCCUGCAGCUAUGGAACCCUGACCUGUUCACCGGACGUGCUACCUGUCCCAGAC
rnacentral:lncRNA from 1 species